GGGAUCCGUCUCCUCUUUCGCCUCCUCCGCUUUGGGAGCCCCGGGCUACUCUUUCACAGCCCCUGUUGCCCUGUGAUCUGUAGGUCCUUGGGGACGCACAGUUAAGAUGACAGGACAUCCUGGAAGCUGGGAAAUGGUAACUUCUUAGACCAAGUCUAGAAACAGUCUGAGGACAAUAACAAUUCCAUUCUAAAAAGAAUCUCCCAACAUUUCUUCUAUCUCAACCUCAACUGCAUCUGCCUGUGAACUUCCAGCUUACCAAGGCUCUAUAUCUUCUGGCAGUGACAAAGGCUCCUUCCAUGAUAUGUAUUCAUUUCCUACCACCGUAGUGGAAGAGAGAUUUUCCCUAUCUUUACAACUGAUAGCAUUUCCAACAGUAAGCUGUGAGAUUCUGCUUGAAAUCACCUCUCAAACAAAUAAAAAACAGACCUGGGAGACAUGCUACACUCAUUCUGCUGAGGAAAUAGGUGGGAUUGUGACAUACAUCUCUGCCCAGCUCCUGAGUGUUUUAGCUCUGUUUCCUGUGUCCAGCUCACAGAUGGGAUUCUGAUAUAUCACUGAAGCCAGCACCUAAAUGAUGUGACUCUUAUCUCCUGCCUUGGUGCUGCCCACAGGGGACAUUGGGACAUAUCACUUGGCCUUGCACCUAGGAUUUGUUUGGAAGGAGAUUGUGAUACAUUGGUGGGUCCAACUUCUCAGUGACAUUACUCUGUUGACUGUGCUCUGCAAGCAGAAAGCACUGUGACACAUUAUUGGGCCCAACACCAAGGUUCUUCCUGCAGUGGAAAUUGUGAUGUAUCACUGGGCUUAACACCAAAGUGACAUUAAUUUUUUGCCUUGGUUCUUCCCUCAGAAGACAUUGUAAUAUAUUGCUGGGCUCAGCACCAAAACGAUGUGGAUUUCCUGUCUGGACCCUGCAUACAGGAGUCCCUGUGACAUAUCUCUUGACUCAUCAACUAUUUGAUGUGACUCUCCUCUGUUCCCUGAGCUUUGCCUAUAGGAAAGCGUCAGCCUGGACUCCAGAGUCAGCCACCCACCCCUGCACAGACAAGGAGAGGUCUCAUUAAGCUUCAGCACAGUCUGGGACCAUAGCUUUUUUUGUAACGAUUUGUUCGGCAUGAGGCCCACUCACAAGGGCCCUUCGUGACUGGACUCAAGGAAAACGAAAAGGCCUACUUGUUUUUGCGAUUUUCUGUUGUUUUUCAAUAACUAUUUCUCAGAAACAGUGCUGGAUGAAUUCCACAAGGGGUUCACACAACCUGUUCCAGGACUUAGUGACCAUUGUUUCUGUCCAUGUUCAUUGAGUUCAAAUUUAAUAUUUAACUUUUCCUCCUCAUUCAGCCUCAAUUUGACACUGAAUCAUAGGAAAAUAUUUUUACAGUUAUACGGGGAAGUCACAACUGGUAUAGAUUACAGAUAGAGCAGAGGAGAAUUAAAAGCACAAUUAAUAGAAACCACACCCACCACGGCCAACGCCAAUGCUAGUUUGACAGCCAGUCCAUGAUGGGGUCCUGAUGGUUAGAUUCUAACUGUUUUACUUGUCCUUGCAUGUCUUCGGCAAGGAGAGUAAUACUGCGAGAACUGUCAGGGAUACACACAACAUUCAGAAUGCAGCAAGACUCAAACCCCUCCUUGGGCUGCGGUAAACAUACCUAAUGCCAUUCGAUUUUGCAACACAACAGUACACAGCUGAACAAGUUCUUCUGAUAACAACAGAAGUCCAGUGCUACUAUCUUAGGAGCUUUUACUAUAUGUGGACUUAAUAUUUUAAUUUGUUGCUGAAGCAGGAUUGUACGAGGGGCAAGGGAGAAUACUGUGAUAGUUUUCCACCACCAGGGAGUCUGGCACGUUCAUAACCAGCUACCUUUGUAAGCAUCUAG
rnacentral:lncRNA from 1 species